rnacentral:rRNA from 1 species
GAUCAUGGCUCAGGAUGAACGCUAGCGACAGGCUUAACACAUGCAAGUCGAGGGGCAGCAUGAACUUAGCUUGCUAGGUUUGAUGGCGACCGGCGCACGGGUGAGUAACGCGUAUGCAACCUGCCUAUCAGAGGAGAAUAGCUCAUCGAAAGAUGAAUUAAUGCUCCAUAAAACAGGGGUUCCGCAUGGGAAUAUUUGUUAAAGAUUCAUCGCUGAUAG